rnacentral:rRNA from 1 species
UAGAGUUUGAUUCUGGCUCAGAUUGAACGCUGGCGGCAGGCCUAACACAUGCAAGUCGAGCGGUAACACAGAGGAGCUUGCUCCUUGGGUGACGAGCGGCGGACGGGUGAGUAAUGCCUGGGGAUCUGCCCGAUAGAGGGGGAUAACUACGGGAAACUGUAGCUAAUACCGCAUAAUGUCUACGGACCAAAGUGGGGGCUCUUCGGACCUCAUGCUAUCGGAUGAACCCAGGUGGGAUUAGCUAGUUGGUGAGGUAAUGGCUCACCAAGGCGACGAUCUCUAACUGGUUUGAGAGAAUGACCAGUCACACUGGAACUGAGACACGGUCCAGACUCCUACGGGGGGCAGCAGUGGGGAAUAUUGCACAAUGGGCGCAAGCCUGAUGCAGCCAUGCCGCGUGUGUGAAGAAGGCCUUCGGGUUGUAAAGCACUUUCAGCGGGGAGGAAGGGCCUCUAGUUAAUACCUAGUGGCAUUGACGUUACUCGCAGAAGAAGCACCGGCUAACUCCGUGCCAGCAGCCGCGGUAAUACGGAGGGUGCAAGCGUUAAUCGGAAUUACUGGGCGUAAAGCGCACGCAGGCGGUUUGUUAAGUCAGAUGUGAAAUCCCCGAGCUCAACUUGGGAACUGCAUUUGAAACUGGCAAGCUAGAGUCUUGUAGAGGGGGGUAGAAUUCCAGGUGUAGCGGUGAAAUGCGUAGAGAUCUGGAGGAAUACCGGUGGCGAAGGCGGCCCCCUGGACAAAGACUGACGCUCCGGUGCGAAAGCGUGGGGAGCA